rnacentral:rRNA from 1 species
CACGUAGGCACCAAGCGUUGUCCGGAUUUAUUGGGCGUAAAGAGCUCGUAGGCGGUUCAGUAAGUCGGGUGUGAAAACUCUGGGCUCAACCCAGAGACGCCACCCGAUACUGCUGUGACUUGAGUACGGUAGGGGAGUGGGGAAUUCCUGGUGUAGCGGUGAAAUGCGCAGAUAUCAGGAGGAACACCAGUGGCGAAGGCGCCAUUCUGGGCCGUAACUGACGCUGAGGAGCGAAAGCGUGGGUAGCAAACAGG